GAAAUAGAUUGUUUCGCAUCAAUUGAUUUUAAUAUUUAUUGUUUUAUUUCUCAAUCGAUUUACAGAGGACAGUUUGAUUGAACAUCAAGAUUUGUUUGGUUUUUGUGGAUAAAAGUAGUUUAUUUUUGUGUUCAAUCAUCAUCACCAACAUCAAUCUUCCAGCCAAAUUAUCCUAAUAGGGCUAUUUGGAAAUCAAUAUCACUGUUUACUCUUUUCAUUGAUCAAUUCUGCUACAAAUUUUACCAAUUAUCCAUUAAUUAAUACAAUAUGAGUAUGUAUUAGACUUGAUAGAAUAAUUACCAAAAGAAACUUGCAACCAGCUGGCAAAGAAAAUCGAGUCCAUUUGAUGAGUUGUAAUCAUUCAUUUUAUAUGACAUUUCGCAUCACAUCAAUAUGAAUUUACAAUUGUUUCAAUUAGGCUCACUGGGUCAAUCGCAGUUAGUCCAACAGACAGCGUUUAAUCUAAAGAUCUAGUUUUAAAAUGAAUUACCAAGGGAACCUGGACUUUGCGUUAUUCCCACAGAUAAACGUUUUCAGCUCAUUUAUGUCUUAGUUGAAUAAUUUGUAGCAGAAACUUGUUUUCCUCGUUUGUAGCUGAAGCUGUCAUCGUCAAAAUGGAAACAUCUUAAUGUCACCUUUGCGCACAACCUGGUUAAGGCCAUCACCACCAUCAGUAUCAUUGGUAUGAGAUAACCUUAGGCCUUGGCUUCUUCUAAACAGAAGUCUUUUCAUCAUUUGAAAGAGAAUCUUUGAAUAUCGAAUUGUGGGAAGGAUGAUUAGUUGAUUAUACAAUUUAUGUAUCAUUAACAAGUAAAAGUCAUGAGAAAAAUUUGAAUUGUUAAGAUUGCAAGAUCUCUUUGGCUGGAAAUACGUGUGAAACUAUUUUGUGAUUUUGUUUUCUUUUUGUGGCUCAAGCUGAACAUUUGGAAGCAAUUACUUUUGAUUGAAGAUAAUUUAGAAACUAAUAUUUACAGGAAAAAAUCUGAAAAUUGUAAACUUAUUACCAAGAUGGUUAACUUGAUUGUAAGAACACAAUGAAAUUGACUCUUUUUUACCGUCUUGUGAAUGUAAAAUCUGGUUUUGUUCAACUAUUAAAUUACAAUAACA